GUGAGGAAUUUUCCGCAAUGGGCGAAAGCCUGACGGAGCAAUGCCGCGUGAAGGAUGAAGGCCUAUGGGUUGUAAACUUCUUUUCUCAGAAAAGAAUUAUGACGGUAUCUGAGGAAUAAGCAUCGGCUAACUCUGUGCCAGCAGCCGCGGUAAGACAGAGGAUGCAAGCGUUAUCCGGAAUGAUUGGGCGUAAAGCGUCUGUAGGUUGUUUAAAAAGUAUUCUGUUAAAGAUUAGGGCUUAACCCUAGAUAGGCAGAAUAAACUUUUAAGCUAGAGUUUGGUAGAGGCAGAGGGAAUUCCCGGUGGAGCGGUGAAAUGCGUAGAUAUCGGGAGGAACACCAAAGGCGAAGGCACUCUGCUGGGCCAAUACUAACACUGAGAGACGAAAGCGAGGGGAGCAAAUGGGAUUAGAUACCCCUGUAGUCC
rnacentral:rRNA from 1 species